rnacentral:rRNA from 1 species
GGUGAACGCUGGCGGCGUGCCUAAUACAUGCAAGUCGAGCGAACAGACGAGGAGCUUGCUCCUCUGACGUUAGCGGCGGACGGGUGAGUAACACGUGGAUAACCUACCUAUAAGACUGGGAUAACUUCGGGAAACCGGAGCUAAUACCGGAUAAUAUAUUGAACCGCAUGGUUCAAUAGUGAAAGACGGUUUUGCUGUCACUUAUAGAUGGAUCCGCGCCGCAUUAACUAGUUGGUAAGGUAACGGCUUACCAAGGCAACGAUGCGUAGCCGACCUGAGAGGGUGAUCGGCCACACUGGAACUGAGACACGGUCCAGACUCCUACGGGAGGCAGCAGUAGGGAAUCUUCCGCAAUGGGCGAAAGCCUGACGGAGCAACGCCGCGUGAGUGAUGAAGGUCUUCGGAUCGUAAAACUCUGUUAUUAGGGAAGAACAAAUGUGUAAGUAACUAUGCACGUCUUGACGGUACCUAAUCAGAAAGCCACGGCUAACUACGUG